UACAGAGGUCCCGAGCGUUUGUUCGGAUUCAUUGGGCGUAAAGGGUGCGUAGGCGGCGGGGCAAGUCUGAUGUGAAAUCCCCGGGGCUCAACCCCGGAACUGCAUUGGAUACUGCCUUGCUUGAGUACUGGAGAGGAGACUGGAAUUUACGGUGUAGCAGUGAAAUGCGUAGAUAUCGUAAGGAAGGCCAGUGGCGAAGGCGAGUCUCUGGACAGUUACUGACGCUGAGGCACGAAGGCCAGGGGGAGCAAACGGG
rnacentral:rRNA from 1 species